AUCCCCUCCUCCACCGCCGACGGCCCCACCGACCAAGAACUCCCCCUAAAGGUGCCUCCUCCCCCUCCUUCGAAGAUUUUUUUUUUUUAAUUUUCGAACCUUCGUGAGCCCUCACCCACCUCCUCUUGAGUUUUUUCUCUUCUACACACAUGGUGGACGGAGGCAUGCCCAUGUGACGGAUGGAGACUCACCAAUGCGGUUGCUCCAUUUUAAUAUAUAUAUAAUAUAUGACUUUC
rnacentral:lncRNA from 1 species